GACGGAGGGUGCAAACGUUGUUCGGAUUCACUGGGCAUAAAGCGCACGUAGGCGGCUCGUUUAGUCAGUUGUGAAAUCCCCCGGCUCAACCGGGGAAUGGCAUCUGAUACUGGCGGGCUCGAGGUCGGUAGGGGUGAGCGGAACUCCAGGUGGAGCGGUGAAAUGCGUAGAUAUCUGGAGGAACACCGGUGGCGAAAGCGGCUCACUAGGCCGACACUGACGCUAAGGUGCGAAAGCUAGGGUAGCAAACGGG
rnacentral:rRNA from 1 species